GGCUCAGGAUGAACGCUAGCGGCAGGCCUAAUACAUGCAAGUCGAACGGUCAGUAGCAAUACUGAUAGUGGCGCACGGGUGCGUAACGCGUAACCAACCUACCUGAAUCUGGGGGAUAGCCCGCCGAAAGGCGGAUUAAUACCGCAUAAAACAACAGAACGGCAUCGUUUAAUUGUUAAAGAUUUAUUGGAUUCAGAUGGGGUUGCGUGCCAUUAGCUAGUUGGGGAGGUAACGGCUCACCAAGGCGACGAUGGCUAGGGGAGCUGAGAGGCUGGUCCCCCACACGGGCACUGAGAUACGGGCCCGACUCCUACGGGAGGCAGCAGUAGGGAAUAUUGGGCAAUGGACGAGAGUCUGACCCAGCCAUGCCGCGUGCAGGAUGAAGGCUUUCUGAGUCGUAAACUGCUUUUAUCAGGGAAGAAAAAAGGGGAUGCGUCCUCUACUGAC
rnacentral:rRNA from 1 species